AAUAGAUACCCAGGUAGUCCUAGCCGUAAACGAUGGACACUAGUUGCCGGAAGAGUCAAUCCUUCGGUGACGAAGCUAACGCAUUAAGUGUCCCGCCUGGGAAGUACGCCCGCAAGGGUGAAACUCAAAGGAAUUGACGGGGGCCCGCACAAGCGGUGGAGCAUGUGCUUUAAUUCGAUGCAACGCGAAGAACCUUACCUGGGCUUGACAUGGGGGUGAAAGGUCGCAGAGAUGUGAUCCCUUCCGCAAGGAACACCCUACACGAGGUGCUGCAUGGUUGUCGUCAGCUCGUGUCGUGAGAUGUUAGGUUAAGUCCUGCAACGAGCGCAACCCUCGCCCUUAGUUGCCAUCAGGUAAUGCUGGGAACUCUAAGGGGACCGCCUGGUUUAACCAGGAGGAAGGUGGGGAUGACGUCAAAUCCUCAUGGCCCUUAGUCCAGGGCUAGACACGUGCUACAAUGGUAGAUACAGCGGGAUGCAAGCUGGUGACAGCAAGCCAAUCCCUUAAAAAUCUAUCUCAGUCCGGAUUG
rnacentral:rRNA from 1 species